rnacentral:rRNA from 1 species
GAUGAACGCUGCCGGCGUGCCUAAUACAUGCAAGUCGAGCGAACAGAUGAGGAGCUUGCUCCUCUGACGUUAGCGGCGGACGGGUGAGUAACACGUGGAUAACCUACCUAUAAGACUGGGAUAACUUCGGGAAACCGGAGCUAAUACCGGAUAAUAUAUUGAACCGCAUGGUUCAAUAGUGAAAGACGGUUUUGCUGUCACUUAUAGAUGGAUCCGCGCCGCAUUAGCUAGUUGGUAAGGUAACGGCUUACCAAGGCAACGAUGCGUAGCCGACCUGAGAGGGUGAUCGGCCACACUGGAACUGAGACACGGUCCAGACUCCUACGGGAGGCAGCAGUAGGGAAUCUUCCGCAAUGGGCGAAAGCCUGACGGAGCAACGCCGCGUGAGUGAUGAAGGUCUUCGGAUCGUAAAACUCUGUUAUUAGGGAAGAACAAAUGUGUAAGUAACUAUGCACGUCUUGACGGUACCUAAUCAGAAAGCCACGGCUAACUACGUG